GACGAAGGUGGCGAGCGUUGUUCGGAAUCACUGGGCAUAAAGCGCACGUAGGCGGUGUGGCAAGUCGGGAGUGAAAUCUCUGGGCUCAACCCAGAGUCUGCUUCCGAAACUGCUGUGCUUGAGUGUGGGAGAGGCGCGUGGAAUUGCAGGUGUAGCGGUGAAAUGCGUAGAUAUCAGGAGGAACACCAAUAGCGAAGGCAGCUCGCUGGGACGGUACUGACGCUAAGGCGCGAAAGCGUGGGGAGCGAACAGG
rnacentral:rRNA from 1 species